rnacentral:rRNA from 1 species
GACGAACGCUGGCGGCGCGCCUAACACAUGCAAGUCGAACGAGCGAGAGAGAGCUUGCUUUCUUGAGCGAGUGGCGAACGGGUGAGUAACGCGUGAGGAACCUGCCUCAAAGAGGGGGACAACAGUUGGAAACGACUGCUAAUACCGCAUAAGCCCACGGUGCCGCAUGGCACAUAGGGAAAAGGAGCAAUCCGCUUUGAGAUGGCCUCGCGUCCGAUUAGCUAGUUGGUGAGGUAACGGCCCACCAAGGCGACGAUCGGUAGCCGGACUGAGAGGUUGAACGGCCACAUUGGGACUGAGACACGGACCAGACUCGUACGGGAGGCAGCAGUGGGGAAUAUUGCACAAUGGGGGAAACCCUGAUGCAGCGACGCCGCGUGGAGGAAGAAGGUCUUCGGAUUGUAAACUCCUGUUGUUGGGGAAGAUAAUGACGGUACCCAACAAGGAAGUGACGGCUAACUACGUG